GGGCUCUUACAUUUUUUUUUUGAACGGCUAAUUUUAUUCCUCUUAAAUACUUACACCUCAUAAGGAUUGAACCUUGGUCUUCCCACAAGAAAUAAUUUCUCUUGACCACGGGUAUAGCCUAAGUUAUUAGGGCUCUUACAUGGUUUAUGCUAAUUUUUUCUUAAUUAUUAGAAGUAAUUUGGAGUUUAGGGAACCUAAAUUUUAUGCACGUAAUGAAAGGGGACCCAUAAAAUCUCAGUAAUUGAUUUGAAAGGCUGUGGAUUGCUAAUUGAAUUGAAGUUUAUAGUGCAUUCUGCUUUAGACAAGUUCAAAUCAAGCCUUCGUUUUGAUUUGAAGCUCGAGCUUGAGCCGGAUAAUAAUUAUUCAUAAAUGGGUCAAUUUGUAUCAGCAAGGAGUGUCAGUGUGCGUGAAAACCUAGACGCAACAACAGUCCGUAAGCUUUCCCCCUGAAAGUUUGAAGCUUCUCUCGUUGUUGCUGACCGAAACAAUGCCUGGUGGUAUCAGAGCUUCGGUUUGUCAAAUGGCUCAGCGUGGAGAGAGAUGCUUGCUCGAUCGUAGAAUCGCCGACAGAGGCAACGACAGAAGUAUGUUCGAUUCACGUGCCCAUGUUAGAGAUCGAUAUUCUAUUAACAGACCUGCCGACCUAUAUAGCACGGGGACGAUACGGGUACGGGGAACGACAAAACUCAAAAAUCCAAGAUACGGGUACGGCAAAGAUUAUAUAGGCUGGAUUCGUUUGUUUUGUACUAUGUGUGGAAUGCCGAAUGCCAAGAUACAUCUGUUAGUGACCAAUUUGCAUCAAAUAUGUUCACAACCAGUUUGAGACCGUUUUGAGACUCACCUUAUUUGUGACUUGCUUUUAUGACCCGGCCAAAUUCUCUGGCCCGACCCAUUUUCCCGCCAAACCCCCCAAUUGAAGCUUUCUGGAUUCGUUACUGCAUUUCAAAGCAAAGAGUGUUGAAGGUGCUUAUUUUUAUUGGCUUUGUUACAUUACCAUAUGAAAAUGCCUUCUGGCUAUCAAUAUCUAUGUUGUGUUUAGUGUUUCAUAGUUUAUGUAAUUUCUUGAUGUUGAACUGCACCUUGGGACCCUUUGACUUUUGUAGUCAAACAUGUGUGCUACUGCAUUUGUAAUCCUCAUGUUCAUUGGUCAUCAUUAUGGAUAUUGCAAAUCUGAGGCUGAUCCAGAUAAUCAUAAGAUAGAUAUGAAUCAGUAAG